CACGAGAAUCGGCAGUGACCUGAAUCAGGUAGGCAGUGUAUUGUUAGCUGGCUGCUUGGGUCAAGUCAGCAGCCACAACUACCCUGCCACUUGCUUCUGGAUAAAUUCUUCUUGUCAAUG
rnacentral:pre_miRNA from 1 species